CCUACGUGUGGCAGCAGUAGGGAAUCUUCCACAAUGGGCGAAAGCCUGAUGGAGCAACGCCGCGUGAGUGAAGAAGGUCUUCGGAUCGUAAAACCCUGUUGUUAGAGAAGAAAGUGCGUGAGAGUAACUGUUCACGUUUCGACGGUAUCUAACCAGAAAGCCACGGCUCACUACGUGCCAGCAGCCGCGGUAAUACGUAGGUGGCAAGCGUUGUCCGGAUUUAUUGGGCGUAAAGGGAACGCAGGCGGUCUUUUAAGUCUGAUGUGAAAGCCUUCGGCUUAACCGGGGUAGUGCAUUGGAAACUGGGAGACUUGAGUGCAGAAGAGGGGAGUGGAAUGCAAUGUGUAGCGGUGAAAUGCGUAGAUAUAUGGAAGAACACCAGUGGCGAAAGCGGCUCUCGGGUCUGUAACUGACGCUGAGGUUCGAAAGCGUGGGUAGCAAACAGGAUUAGAUACCCGGGUAGUC
rnacentral:rRNA from 1 species